rnacentral:rRNA from 1 species
AACGAACGCUGGCGGCAUGCCUAACACAUGCAAGUCGAACGAGACCUUCGGGUCUAGUGGCGCACGGGGGCGUAACGCGAGGGAACCUUCCCUCAGGUUCGGAAUAACUCCCCGAAAGGGGUGCUAAUACCGGACAAUGUCUUCUGACCAAAGAUUUAUCGAGCUUGGAUGGGCCCGCGUUGGAUUCGCUAGUUGGUAGGGUAAAAGCCUACCAAGGCGACGAUUCAUAGCUGGGUUGAGAGGAUGAUCAGCCACACUGGGACUGAGACACGGCCCAGACUCCUACGGGAGGCAGCAGUGGGGAAUAUUGGACAAUGGGCGAAAGCCUGAUCCAGCAAUGCCGCGUGAGUGAUGAAGGCCUUAGGGUUGUAAAGCUCUUUUACCCGGGAUGAUAAUGACAGUACCGGGAGAAUAAGCUCCGGCUAACUCCGUG